UCCAUGCAUUGGCUAUCUUCUAAUACCAUUCAUCGGCAACUUUAGCUUUGAUGGCUCUAAUCACUAAGUGCAUAUAUAGAAAGGAUCAUUUGACUAUACCAAGGUUAUUGAUGGAGCACUUGUAGAUAUCAAAUAGCAAGUGGCAGAAGCACUAAUCCUAUGCCCAUCUGAUUUCUAGAAUAUGUUUAAGGCCUCCUACCACAUCUCUGAUGUAGGGAUUGGAGGGUCCUUAGCCAGGA
rnacentral:lncRNA from 1 species